GUCAAUAAGGUCUCAAAACACACAGCUCACCAUGGAGUCGGGGCUGAGCUGGGUUCUCAUUGCUGCUCUUCUAGGAGGUGUGCAGUGUGACAUACAGCUGGUGGAGUCUGGAGGAGGCUUGGUGCAGCCUGGGGGGUCUCUGAGACUCACCUGUGCUGUCUCUGGAUUCAACAUCAGAACCGCUGACAUGCACUGGAUCCGCCAGGCUUCAGGGAAGGGGCUGCAGUGGGUCUCAGCUAUUAGUAGUGGUGGAAGCACUUACUACCCUGACUCCGUGAAGGGCAGGUUCACCAUCUCCAGAGACAACGCCAAGAACAUGGUGUAUCUUCAAAUGGACAGCCUGAGAGUCGAGGACACAGCCCGAUAUUACUGUGCGAGAGACACAGUGACGGGAAGUCAGUGUGAGCCCAGACACCAACCUCCCUGCAGUGACACAGGAGGGGCUGUGCUGCAGGGGAAUCAUGACACAAGGGAGCUCGAGAUCCAGUGCAGGUUCAGCCCCUGGAGCAGGUGCAGGGGGAAGGGAAGGGCUGGCUUCCUGUGA